rnacentral:piRNA from 1 species
UAGAACCAGAGACUGGUUCCCACACUCGAU